UCCAAUUCUGUUUCAAACCCCAUCCUCCUUCUCUCUCUUUCUCCAGCUGUGGUCCCAGGACUUGCAGUGGGGACGGGGCACCUCCUCAUCUCCUCCCCGGCCCCCUCUUUUGGGGGUCUGGGACCCCACUGUAUUCACCGUGGGUGAAGGCCAUGCGGGGAGACACGUGUCUCGGAUCCGUCCUAUCAAUGCCAAGGUUCCUCGGUGGGCUUUAUGGCUUCUUCAGCCACCACCGACUCCGAUUCCGAGUUCUGUUGCUACAGCGUUCAUGAAGCACAGUGAGCCUUUGUGUCCAGACCUCACUCACGGGGAGUAGACGUAAGCUCCACCUCUGGAAGGGAAGAGCAUCCGAGAGUGUGUGGGCAGAGUCUGAAAGCAGCACGGAGAUCCUGACCAUUCCUGGUUCAUCUUCUGCCUGACUCAUGAAAGUGAAAGCCACACAUGCAGCGGGGGACACGUGGCUCCCUCAGAAGUUCCCGCGAAAGCAACGGGCUAGCUGAUUUUCUCCAAUUCUCCAUCCCAGUGCAGGCUCCUGCAUUAGGAUUUGGCUUGGGGUUUAUUGCCUCACGGUCACAACAUGGCUGCUGAGCUCCGGACAUCACCUUCUCCCACAACAGGGAAAAAAAUGGAUAGGUGGGGUGGUGACAGCCCUCUCCUAUCCUGCUUCUCCUCUUUUAUCCAGUCACAAACCUAUUUCCCAAAAGCGGCCAGCACACUCAUUGGCCAGAACUGGGUCACUGCCUACCUGCCCCUACAAAGGAGUCUAGGAAACAGGAGAGCUGGCUUUUUUCACCACUUUGGUAUGAGGUGGUAAAUGGGAGAGGAGUUGUUAGUGGCUGUUAGAUCAGCCAAUCAACACUAUCGGUGGCGGACGUGACCUCAUGCCCACUGCAAGAAUAAUUUUUAAACAUUGAGAGAGAAAGAGAGAGAGAGAUGGAGAUAUUCUUUCUCUCCCGCAGUGGCGGUGGGAGAGAUACUAUUUCGCAUCAUAAAAUCCAUCUACAGAAUCAGCUUCCGGGGGGGGGGGGGGGAAG